GAAAAUGGAGCACAAUUAUGAGAUUCUACUAAUUGCAGUACAAUAUCAGCAAAUCGUAGUACAAUAGCAGAACAUAUCAGCAACUAACUUCGAAGAAGGAAGUGAGAAAUUAUAAUUUUUUUGACAAAUUUGGUAUUGCAUGACUACCCUAUUAUUGCAUGGUUUCUUAUACUGUCAGAUUCGAUUAGGUUUGCUGACGUGUAUUAGAUGACAAAAUCUGCAAGUCUCUGGGUGGUUGUUUACGCUGGCGUGAGCUCCUCUUGGGACCAUGUGGUUCUUCAUGUGGCUCGCUAGGCUUGGUGGCAUUACGGGCAGUGGGUUGGGUCACAACAUUACCCCCGGUUCGAAAGGCAACUUGCCCGCAC
rnacentral:lncRNA from 1 species